rnacentral:lncRNA from 1 species
GCGUCUACUGUGGUCUCUUGGGGUUGCCCUUAUAAGGCGUCCCCCCUCCUUACCUCUUUCCGAUGUGGGAUACUUUCAAUCCACCUCAUAGGGCUUCUACCCCCCAUAAGGCCUGAGCGUCCUCGCUCAGCACACCGUACUCAUGAGGCCCAGGCUCUGAUACCAAUUGUAACAUCCUCUGGGCCCACAACAGUAGAUAU